UGUCCAGGGAUGGAAUCGAACCCACAGUGUUCCGCUUACCGGGCAGAUGCCAUGUCCACUAGGCUACCCUGGAC
rnacentral:tRNA from 1 species